rnacentral:rRNA from 1 species
GUGAGGAAUAUUGGACAAUGGGCGCAAGCCUGAUCCAGCCAUGCCGCGUGCAGGAAGACGCAUCUAUGGUGUGUAAACUGCUUUUGUACGGGAAGAAACACUCCCUCGUGAGGGAGCUUGACGGUACCGUAAGAAUAAGGAUCGGCUAACUCCGUGCCAGCAGCCGCGGUAAUACGGAGGAUCCAAGCGUUAUCCGGAAUCAUUGGGUUUAAAGGGUCCGUAGGCGGUUUAAUAAGUCAGUGGUGAAAACUCAUCGCUCAACGAUGGAACGGCCAUUGAUACUGUUAGACUUGAAUUACAAGGAAGUAACUAGAAUAUGUAGUGUAGCGGUGAAAUGCUUAGAUAUUACAUGGAAUACCAAUUGAGAAGGCAGGUUACUACUUGUGGAUUGACGCUGAUGGACGAAAGCGUGGGGAGCGAACAGGAUUAGAUACCCGAGUAGUCC